CCUGCUUCCAAGGACAAACUGCAGCACCUCCAGCACURGGCUGCCUGCGGGUCACCGGCUGCCAGCUGCUCCCCGUCAACGAGCUGCUCCACACUGAGGGGGAAGAAAAAGGGCAGGAAGGAUCYCCUCCUGCCAGGCUCACCCAGGACUUGCAGCCCACAGAGGCAGUUUGCUGACGGUGCAAUGAAUCCUGGGAUAUCC